rnacentral:lncRNA from 1 species
CUGGACUUCUCAACUGUACAACCUGAUGCCAUCAUGGAGGCUGAAAAUCCUCACACCUUUCAUUCUGUCUAGGGCUGACUGGAACCAGGGCUGGCUGAUCAGCUGUCAGGCUGCUCUUUAGCGAAGCUUGGAAAGUUCCAGCAAAAGCCCUGCCUUUGAACCGGAAUCACUCUGCCACCAUCUGCACAUGGAUCCUUUGUAGUGGAGACAGUGAUCUUUGUUCUGUAUAAAAACAGACUGGAACUCUUCUUGGGCCUGUCCCUCUGCUGACAAUUCCAAGUAAUGCUUUAUCAUCCCCAAGUGCAUUGCGUUGCUUUAAUAUCUGGCAGAGCGUGAAUUGUAAACACAUCAUUAGACUUAAAGGCUGCCCUGAGAUGGUGGCUGGAGGAGAACGGGGCCUGAAGAAAAGAGGAAUUUGGCUGAAAAUGAGCUGCUGAAUAAUUUAUCAUGAAUUGAAAUGUCAAUACCUUAAGUGAGGCAUGGUGAAGCUUCAGAACUCAGAGGUAAACACUGUGAGGAUGUAAUUCUGGAGAGAACAUUAUCAAAAGCAGUGGCUCUUCGGAAAGAGCAGGAGGCAGAGGGACCCUGGCUGGGUGUGGGCUGAGUCUGAUGAGGAGGUUGGGGGUGGGG